UACGGAGGGUGCAAGCGUUAUCCGGAUUCACUGGGCUUAAAGGGUGCGUAGGCGGGUUGGCAAGUCCGUGGUGAAAUCCCCAAGCUUAACUUGGGAACUGCCGUGGAUACUAUCAAUCUUGAAUAUCGUGGAGGUAAGCGGAAUAUGUCAUGUAGCGGUGAAAUGCUUAGAUAUGACAUAGAACACCAAUUGCGUAGGCAGCUUACUACACGAUCAUUGACGCUGAGGCACGAAAGCGUGGGGAGCAAACAGG
rnacentral:rRNA from 1 species